GGACUACUAGGGUAUCUAAUCCCGUUUGCUCCCCUGGCUUUCGCGCCUCAGCGUCAGAAGAGAUCCAGUGCGCCGCUUUCGCCUCCGGCGUUCCUUCCAAUAUCAACGCAUUUCACCGCUCCACUGGAAGUUCCGCACACCCCUAUCUCCCUCAAGACCAUCAGUAUCAGAGGCACUUCUACAGUUGAGCUGCAGGAUUUCACCCCUGACUUGAUGGACCGCCUACGCGCCCUUUAAGCCCAGUGAUUCCGAACAACGUUAGGACAGUUCGUCUUACCGCGGCUGCUGGCAC
rnacentral:rRNA from 2 species